UGAAAUACCACCCUUUAAUGUUUGAUGUUCUAACGUGGACCCGUAAUCCGGGUUGCGGACAGUGUCUGGUGGGUAGUUUGACUGGGGCGGUCUCCUCCUAAAGAGUAACGGAGGAGCACGAAGGUUGGCUAAUCCUGGUCGGACAUCAGGAGGUUAGUGCAAUGGCAUAAGCCAGCUUGACUGCGAGCGUGACGGCGCGAGCAGGUGCGAAAGCAGGUCAUAGUGAUCCGGUGGUUCUGAAUGGAAGGGCCAUCGCUCAACGGAUAAAAGGUACUCCGGGGAUAACAGGCUGAUACCGCCCAAGAGUUCAUAUCGACGGCGGUGUUUGGCACCUCGAUGUCGGCUCAUCACAUCCUGGGGCUGAAGUAGGUCCCAAGGGUAUGGCUGUUCGCCAUUUAAAGUGGUACGCGAGCUGGGUUUAGAACGUCGUGAGACAGUUCGGUCCCUA
rnacentral:rRNA from 1 species